rnacentral:sRNA from 1 species
CUUUUGACCCCCUUGGUCAGUACGUGCCCAGGAACCAUGUUCAAUAUCAUCUUGGAUCAAGUGCACUCAGGAUGAUAAAUGUGCUGUGAAACCAACUCCACAGCCUGAAUGUCCACAGUCAGACUGGAAAACCUUGGUGAUAGCCCUGGUGUGAGCCUGCCCUUGCUGCUGGGCCCUUCAUGAGCGCAGAGGCCAUGGCAGAGUACAGGGAGGCCAUGAGCCCCACAUCACUUUCCUUUGAUCUUUUUGCAGGGGGGAGUCUCACCUUCUUCCUCGGUGAGUAUGGGGGCCUGAUCUUCAUCUGGCUGGAGAGAGAAGGGGCCUGAGGCCAGAGGGUAUGGAAGGGACCCUGUGGUGGCCACUCAGACUUUCUCUUUUUCCGGCAGGCUUCCCGAGUGCAACCUGGCCUGCUGCAGUGGGUGAAGUUUUGGUAGGUGAGUGUCAGAGUGAGCCGACCCAGGCCACAUCCUGGGAGUGGAGGCACAGUCACCCGGGGCAGGGCCAGGAUCUUGGUAUAUCCUCAGAUCUCAGUGGGCAGCGACAUGAAGUCAGGCAAUUUCUUGCAGCCACCACCGAGGCCCCGAAAAGCACUGGUCGUCAGGGAGUUCCUCCCCUUGGCCCCCAGCCUGUGCCAGCCCUGGCCCGGCUGCCACACCUCUGUUUCCUAGGCUGGGGACCCAGCUUGUCUCUCCUUGUUUCUUCCCACUGCACUGUGGUGCUUCAGUGGCCACCAGCCUCGUCAGAUACACCAGC